GGAUUGUGGCUCAGUGGCAGAACGCUUGCCUCAGAUGUAUGAGGCACUGGGUUCAAUCCUCAGCACCA
rnacentral:tRNA from 1 species